AGAAAUUUAGCGUCUUAUUCAAGUGAAUAAUUUUAUUGAUAAAUUAAAAUAAAAGUGUCCAUUCCCGAAUAGGUCCGUGAACACACCUUUCACGUGACGUACGCACAAGCAAGCCUGAUUCGGCCAAUCAUGAGCCUUGUACCUUCCUAUACAAGCUACUGCCGCGCUGCUUACUACAGACUCGGGAGGAAGGCAACACGAACGGCUGCAACAGAGGUCGGACACCACCGUGGAUAGGACGCUGGGUACUUGCUGGGUGACGUUCAUUGUGGAAAUUGGCCAGGUGUGCCUGGUUGGCACAGAACCACACGAGGCGAGCUGACCCAAAAAGGAGCCUGAACCAGGUUACCAUCUCAACUCAGUCCUGUGGUCUGGUAGGGGCUGUUGCAGCCAGUCCUCCCCUGUUCUCUCUGUCCCCCGCUGUCCGCAUAUGAACUGCUUUGCGCUAUGGACUCUAUUUCAUAUCCCAACCUGUGUGGUUUCUAUGGACAAUGAUACAAAACUCUCUUAACUUUAUUGCGGACAGUAAAAUAUUUCCACCAAUAAGUGGAAAAAUUGUAGAGGAGAAAAGGAGAGUAUUAUACUCUGGUUGGUUGAUGGUGUUUCUAUUGUGCUUUGACCAGUGUUUUGUGAACUGUGACAAAAAAGGGAAAAAAUACUUUUUUGUGUGUGAACUACUCAAGCUUGAGGAUAUUCUUAAAUCUCUGCAGAUUGUAAAUAUGUAUCACUUCAACUCACUGUAAAUAAUACACAAGCUACUUUAAAAUCUA